CGCGUGGCUAGCCCCGGCAGGUCGGUUCACCGGAUCUGCCGGAGGUGAAGACAAUCGGUGAUCUACGCACGUAGAGGUCUCGCAGGAUCCAUUCGCGGACGCGGGUUCGACUCCCGCCGCCUCCACUC
rnacentral:tmRNA from 1 species